ACCUUGAAAUACCACCCUUUAAUGUUUGAUGUUCUAACGUGGACCCGUGAUCCGGGUUGCGGACAGUGUCUGGUGGGUAGUUUGACUGGGGCGGUCUCCUCCUAAAGAGUAACGGAGGAGCACGAAGGUUGGCUAAUCCUGGUCGGACAUCAGGAGGUUAGUGCAAUGGCAUAAGCCAGCUUGACUGCGAGCGUGACGGCGCGAGCAGGUGCGAAAGCAGGUCAUAGUGAUCCGGUGGUUCUGAAUGGAAGGGCCAUCGCUCAACGGAUAAAAGGUACUCCGGGGAUAACAGGCUGAUACCGCCCAAGAGUUCAUAUCGACGGCGGUGUUUGGCACCUCGAUGUCGGCUCAUCACAUCCUGGGGCUGAAGUAGGUCCCAAGGGUAUGGCUGUUCGCCAUUUAAAGUGGUACGCGAGCUGGGUUUAGAACGUCGUGAGACAGUUCGGUCCCUAUCUGCCGUGGGCGCUGGAGAACUGAGGGGGGCUGCUCCUAGUACGAGAGGACCGGAGUGGACGCAUCACUGGUGUUCGGGUUGUCAUGCCAAUGGCACUGCCCGGUAGCUAAAUGCGGAAGAGAUAAGUGCUGAAAGCAUCUAA
rnacentral:rRNA from 2 species